UACGUAGGUGGCAAGCGUUGUCCGGAUUUAUUGGGUUUAAAGGGUGCGUAGGCGGUCUUCUAAGUCAGUUGUGAAAUACUUCAGCUUAACUGGAGAGGUGCAAUUGAUACUGGAAGACUUGAGUACUGAUGAGGUAGGCGGAAUGGACGGUGUAGCGGUGAAAUGCUUAGAUAUCGUCCAGAACACCGAUAGCGAAGGCAGCUUACUAAGGAGUAACUGACGCUGAGGCACGAAAAGUGUGGGGAUC
rnacentral:rRNA from 1 species